rnacentral:lncRNA from 1 species
GGCAGUUUAACUAGGUAUCGUUACAGCCAUGGUACCUGCUAUCUCGUUACUCUACAGACAAAAAAUUAAUGUUAACACGAUUUGUUUUUCUUGUUUAACGAAACUGAAAGCAUGGUGAUUGAUCGCGGAAGUUUUCAAGACUUGAUCAGACUAGAUUUACGUGAAAAGAGAAGCCCACCACCAACAGUAAAUGACGGGGUACGAAAUUUGAGCUUAGGGGUUGAAUUCAGUUGCAUGCCAUGGCACAAAGUCCACUUCAUUGCACGUCCGGCCAGAGACACGCCGACUUUAAUUUUAAAGAAUUUAAGUAAGAAUAAACUCAGUGAUAUUUCCGAGCGUCGCCCAAAACUGCAUUUCGGGGACCUUCGAGGAAUAAAGGGAGUGCAUGUCUGAAACGCGGUAGAUGCAAUCGCAGUUUGACCAUGAGAAACUUCUGUUGCUGUGGUUGCCUGACAAAUGGGUUUCAAAAAUCUGAGGAUCAUCCAGUAGACAAUGAUAAAUGUGUGUCUCCAGGACUCUGAUUUGUAUUUUAGUGGUAACGGUAUUGUUUUCGGACAUCUCAAACAGUAGACAGAGGUGCAACUAUCAAGAGAUCCUCAUCGCUUACAAAGAACUAAUCCUCACAGAACUCCAAAGCCUGAACCUCACAGGUCCUUAUGACACAUCAAGUGAAAAUAAAAAUUUAAGAGACCAUUGCCCCUCUGGAAAGGUACACCAUAUCCUGCAGUCUAUCUACAAUAUGACACAGUUUUUUAAAUGUCAAGUCAAAGGUAAAGGAUCAAAUAACCUAGGUAACCCUGUGAAAAGAAUGGAAAUGGUUAUUAAACAAAACUGCAAUUAUGCUGACCUGAUAAGAAGAUCAGAAGGUGACCCAGUAUGCACAAAUAGUAAAGGUUUAGGAGGGAAAAGAAGGAAAAAAAAGAAAAAGAAGAUUAUCGAGGCCUUAAUAUUGUGUUGGAAGAAGUUACAAAUCAUGUAUUCUCCAAAACCAAAAAGAAAGACAUAAACUAGGAGGAAUACACACUAAAGGAAAGAACUGUUAAGGGAUUUGUAAAUAAUCAAUAAAGAUUUUAGCAGUUACAGUCAAAAACUGUACAAAAUAUAAGCUUUUGCCACACCUAAUGUGAGAGCUUUUAUAAAUACUUUAAGAAGAAAUAUUUGGAAAGACACUUACAUAUUCAUAGAAAUGUACCAUACUCACAUACAGUAUGCUGUAUAGAUACUGGGACUUUGAGAGUUAGAUGUAUUAAAUGCAUCAUUUUUCAUUUAAUCAUUUAAAAAUUAAAAUAUAAAAGACUUUUCAACUUCUGUUUUAUUUUUUUGUUUAGUAGGUUGUACUAUUUAUUAACAUGUAUCCCCUUAACCUAAACCUAUGCUAG